rnacentral:rRNA from 1 species
GAUGAACGCUAGCGGGAGGCCUAACACGUGCAAGCCGAGGGGUACGAUUCUUUCGGGAAUCUGAGACCGGCGCACGGGUGCGUAACGCGUAUGCAACUUGCCCUACUGAAAAGGAUAGCCCUUCGAAAGGAGGAUUAAUACUUUAUAACAGAUUGAAUGGCAUCAUUUAAUUUUGAAAGAUUUAUCGCAGUAGGAUAGGCAUGCGUAAGAUUAGUUAGUUGGCGAGGUAACGGCUCACCAAGACGAUGAUCUUUAGGGGGCCUGAGAGGGUGAACCCCCACACUGGUACUGAGACACGGACCAGACUCCUACGGGAGGCAGCAGUGAGGAAUAUUGGACAAUGGGUGGAAGCCUGAUCCAGCCAUCCCGCGUGUAGGAUGACGGCCUUAUGGGUUGUAAACUACUUUUAUCUGGGGAUAAACCUACUCACGUGUGAGUAGCUGAAGGUACCAGAAGAAUAAGCACCGGCUAACUCCGUGCCAGCCGCCGCGGUAAAAC